GAACUGUCAAUUUCAUGAGCGGGGAUUGCAGUUUGCAUUGCGUAACAUGCACUUAAAUAAAUUGACAAUAUCGACAACAAAAAGGGGCAGGCACACGUGCCGUUCACCUGCGGCGAACAAACGCAAAAAAAAUAUAGAAAGUUCACUCACUAAGCCAGACAAUCGCUGAAAGGACUCAAAGGUUGACUGCUUCUUGUUUUGCCCAGGACACUGACCUAGUUCUUUCCCAUUUUCCCUCCCCUUGCAAGCACCCACACACACACACACACACACACACACACGUACUUGUACACACACACUGCUGCGCUGGCUGAAAGAAUUUUCCACUGACUUUUAGUUUUGAUUCACAAGUGCCCCAGGUGAGUGCCGAUUUCCAUGCUGGACUCGAGCGCACUUCUUGUUUUGAUAUUUUUCAGUCUCUCUGUUUUUGCUCAACCAAUUGCAGCCCAAGUGCAAUUUGCAGUUCGAGUGGUGAUCUAGCAUAAUUUAGAUGGAUAUUUCAGAAAGGUAAACAUCGCAAAAACGCAAUGCACAAGUGGGUCUCGACGACAGUUGCCAUUGGCAUCGAGUGGCUCAAAAGAGUGCAAUUGGGCGCUCGACUUUUUGAGUUCAAGCACUUAUCAGAUGGCCAUCAUGUGCAGUCCAAAUAAACAAGUAAAUAGUUAAAUUAUGGGUAAAAUAGCCUAUUAAACUGAAUUGCCUUUACAAGUUAUACUGAUUGUUUAACACUUAUAAAUUUAUGCGUAUUUUUGCAAAUACAGGUGUCAAUUAAAGCAUUAAACAAAAUUUGAUAAGC
ensembl:ncRNA lncRNA:CR46021 long non-coding RNA:CR46021